AAUCAGCCACAGGCGCACAGGUGAAGGUAAUUCACCUGUGCAACUGGAAGGGUGGAGCCUGGCUCCACCUGUCCUAGACCCAUUUAAGUGCUGAUUGCCACUGAGGAAGGAUCUCUUCCUAGGGAUUUUUCCUUGGGGAGAAUAUUGUGAGCCUUACGUUGGCUUCUACAUCCUUUAUUAGAUCUACCUGUUAUGUAGCCUACUUGGACAUUAUUCACUUCUACAGUAUAGAUUUCCCCAGCCCUGGAUGUAGCUUGGAUUUUGCUUAAAAUGUUCAUCAGCUCAAGGUAUUUACAUAUCCCAUUUAUAUAGUAAUUUUAAAACUUUGAUGUUGGAAAUACUCUGCAUUGUAGUGCAAUGGAAAACUAGAAUUUGAGAAAUAUAUUACAGAUAUAGGCAAACACAAGCAGCCUUUCUUUGCUUGAAGUUUUCUGAUGAGGCAGACCUUAUUUUGGGAUCAAGACUACUUUGGAUCUGAAAAAAAUGCCUUCUAGAAGAAAAUCUGUGAUUUUUAACUAUCAGUUAAUGCUUGAAACUUUGAAUCUUAUCUGGUUAGUUAUGGCCAACCAGAAUUAAUUUGCAGCUAACAUACUGUCACAAAUGAUAGUGGAGUCUCCUAGAACAGUAAGCUGAGGUGAGUUACUUUUUCUUUUAAAAUGCAGUUCUUCCUUCAUGCAUACUAAUUGAUUGUGAUAUUUUUUUCAAGUACAGAUAACUUGUAUUGCACCCCGAGGAUGCAUUUUUAUCAUCGUGAGAUGUAUGGAAUAUUACUUUGCUUCAGGAGAUAAAAGCAAUUUCAUCUGAGCCCUUCUAGAAACUAGUGCAUCAACUUACCUAAUCAUCUGUAGCAUCUGCAAUGGUUAUCUUUCAAUAAGUAUUCUUCAGUAUUAUUAAUUUCUGUGAGAUUUUUACCUAUUAGAUGUUUCAGAUGGAAGAUGCUUCCUGUAUUUUUUCCAAAGUUAAGUAAGAUUAAACUGUAGCUCUUGUGAAUGAACCUUACCUCACUGGAUUUAAAACAGUAACAUCUUGUUGUAGGUUAGCACUGGAUAGCAGCAGACUCCCAAUGAGUCACUCAGCAGGAUGGGGAAAAAAUAGGGGGAAAAAAGGGAAAAAUGUAAGGUUGUCAUAAAGAUGCAGAGAUCAGUAAUUACUAAUUAUCAUCAUAUAGGCAUGACAGUCUUGACUUAGGAAAAAUUAACUUAAUUGACCACUAAUUUAAAAGAAAAUUCUAAUAAUGAAUUUGUAUAGUGAGAGAAAAAGAAACAUUAAAACAACAUUAAAUUUCCUCAGGACUCAAACAGUGCUUUCUUAACAGUUCAUCUCUGUUACUCAUUCUCUUUCCCUGCAUAAGGUCUCCGCAGACUAUAAAAUAAAUAAAAUAAACUAACACAAAAACCCACAUUGCUCUCCUCAGUUUGGUUCUUUCUAUACUGACUUAUUUCCUGCCCUUUCUCAAAAAUAUUUCCCCAAGGCACAGCUAUGUUGGCUAUGGGGACCAGUUGUGCCAGGCAUAGGGCCAUUGAAGUUAACUGGAAUCAUCCGUAUCCAUCGAGGACAGCCCAACAUCUCCUCAGAGACCCCUACAGUGCCCACUGUCAGCAGCUAGGCACCCACACCCCAAUUUAAAAAUAGUUGGUAGCAAUAAAAUUCAUAGGAAUAUAUGGAUGUAUUUCACUAAUCGGUUUUCCAGACAGUGGAAUUUUCUGGUUUUCUAAGUAUCUGGUACAUUCCAUAAGAAGUUCUUUAGACAUAAAAAUAAAAAAAACCCCACAAAGCAAAUAUCAUCUGUUCUGCUGAAUUUUCAUUGGUUUCAAAGUCCAUGUGGACUUAACCAAUCAUAGCUUGUUGCCUAAUAGUUUUAAUGGUAAUUCAUUUUUUCUUCUAAUUAAACACAGAUGUAGAUCUAAAAUUUAAGAAAAUAAGGAAAGCUGUAUUCCCAUGACAAGCUCAUAAUUUCCUUUUUCUACCACACUGCAGGGUCGUUGACAGUACCCCAGAGUCUGCCACAGAUGCACAUUAAUUACCUGUUCUGUAAUUACUAGGGUACCAGUAUAGCUGUUCAACCAUUCAUUAAGCUUUCUUCUCAACUUUGCAAAACCCCAGAGAUGUGUGCAAGAAGCACACAACUUGGCAAUAUUAAUUGAACCCUAUUAACUCCUAACAUGUACAAAAAAGUGUAACUAUAGAUUAAAAAAAAAUGCUUUUUUUAUUUUGUCCACUAAGCCCACAGCAAAUAAGUGAUCAUUUUUGGUACAGUCUGCUUAGAUAUUCAGCAACACAGCUGUUCACAGAUUGUUAAAUACUGGGCACACAUCAGCAAGAUUAAAGAAAAUUCUUGGCUAUUAAAUUACUAGUAUAAUUCCCUCAUUCAAGGCCUGCACAGAGAUGGUUAGCUGUGUAAGCAAAUCUAAGUACAAUGAUUAUCAAGAAAGUUAGGAUAUUAACAAGAGUCCUGUUAAAUAAAAAAAAAUAUAAUCAGGAAAAAAUACCUUCAAUUCUUUUGUAGCUCAUUUGUUUCCAAUAUCUAGAGACGUUCACUUUUUAUGUUUUAAAACAUCUUUUACCAACAUAAUUCAAUGCUUGAUAUGACUGAAGGUAGUGUUGUGACAUAAAUGAAUCAGUCACGAAGAAUGAAGUCUUGCUUUUAAAUGUCUAUAUUUUUCCUACGUCUGUCAAACUUCUGAUUUUUAAAUUCAUUUGUUGCAAAGAUGCCACAUUUUAUCAUCUUCUGUUUUUUACAAGCCUGUGAGAUAUUGUGAUGAUUCUCACUUGCUCUGAUUUUGGUUUACAUACUCUGCACUAGAAUCUUUAAGCAUAUCUUAUCUGAAUAGGAAUCAUUAUUACUUACUAAUACAGCCUGUAUUUCUUGAUAAAUAUGUCAAUUUAUUAAUAAUGACUUGUAAUCUACAUGUUGCCUAUCCGCUAUUCAGAAUCCUGUGGUGGAUUCUCAGCACUUCUUCCUUUUAAGAAGGAGAAAGUACUUUAAUGAAUAAUUUCUUUUCAAAGCCCUUUUCAAUAUAUUCAACAGAAUUGAAUAUAUUCCUAAGUAACAUUUUGGUACCUGGUAGAUUACACAUGUAUCCAAAGUCUGUAAAAAUGCAGUUGCUUCUUUCUAUUUUCUAAUUAUCUACAUCAGAGUAACGUUAUUAAUGAUGUUCUUGUAUUAAGUUGACCUCCUAGUAUAUUUUUAGCUUUGUAGAAUUUGAAGAGGGAAAACUUAGAAAACGUUUUACAGACAAACUUUGACAGUUAAGUUAAAUAGUGAGUAGUUUGAAAUACAUGUACAAAAAACUCUAUUGUAAAAUUAAAUGUUGAAUAAUUGUCAUUAUACCACAUUUUCGACAAAUUAGCCUAAGUGGUUUUUUAGAACUUUUGUAAGUAGUUAAGUAGUAACGAGUGCCUACUCUUUACAGUAGGUACUGAUCUAAGUUCAAUGUAAAUGAAUGAUUUUUGCAGUCUAUAGCAAUUAGCUCAAUAAAGGAAUCCUUAAAAAAUUUAUGAGUUACUAUUUAGAAGAAGUAUAUGGGAAAAAAAUGUCCUGCUUGGAAAGUAUUUCUGGAGACUAGAUUAUCCUGUUGUAUCAAAUGAGAUUCAAUAGCACGUGUUAACAUAUAAUGCACUUUAUAAGGUGAUCCUGUUUAAGCACAUUAAGCAUGUUACUCUUACUGCAAUUAAUCAGAAAAAAAUAUACUUGAAGUCAGUGUAUACUGGUUGUUCUUGUCUAAAUUCAUCCAGAAUUUCGGUUAUCUUUGCAUUUUUGAACAGUCAAGGAUGCAUGCCAGUAAACUCUCCAGUUUUGUCUCUGUUUUGGUAUGUUUACUCUUUCUUGCUUUAAUGUUUUCUCUCCUUGUGAUUAGUUAGAUCUGGAUUACACUUUGUUGCAGAUUACACAUGAGGGUAAUCAUAUUCCCUUUGUUAGGGUUUUGCCUGGAUUGACUAGAGGAGCACUAAGAUUAUUAAGGAUAAUUCAUGCCCUUCGUAGCAGAGAUUUUGUUUAAUGCCUUAAGUUAGAUGUUGAAUCACUGAUAAAAUAAAAAAGCCCCAGUAACAGUCAAAAUGCUGAGAUAACAAAACAUAGCAAAUAAAAUUCCACUCAAUAGCAUCAGACACAAUUACAAAAAUGUUAUAGCAGAAGGUUUGCUGUCCAAACUCUGGACAAUACUCAACUUACCAUGGAGGAUUACUCUAUAGCCACCUUAGGUGCAGAAUAGCCUUAAGGGAGCUAAUAAGUCUCUACUUCUUCCAAUGAAGAGCUAAGCCGUAGGUAAUUCCAGGUUGCUGAGUCCCAGUAGAAUCUCCUGCCUGAAGCUGGGCAGCAAGAGGCCUUCAGGGCAUGGGCUGUGUCCUUAUCUGCAUGGGGGUUUGGCUGCUGAGCCUGGCCCAGCAGAGGCUGCCUUUUUGGGGAGAUGUAGGUUUUGUCUGCAAGGCCCUAACUGGCCUGCAUCUGUAUCCAGCCCCACUGGUCCUGGUCCUCUGGGACCUGCUGUCCCUGCUGAGCCCUGACCGAAACUGGAAGGCAAGUACUUUUCUGCUUUUUAGGAAAUGCCAUAGGAUGCUUCUAAAUUCUACUUCCUCAAAAUAGUUAGGGCCUCCGGUAAUUUUGUACCUUGUACUGUUUCUAAUUAGACAUCCUUCAUGCAUAGUGCUUUUAAAAUAUGGAGCAUUACGGCAUUGUAAAGGCUAGAUAGCUGGUGCAUGCAGAAGAUUUGCCUUGUUAGUCAUUAUUUUGCACAGUGGAUGUUGUAUUUAUCUUGGGGGCAAUAUUUUUAUCUGUUUGGCAGUGAACUUUGUUAAGCUGGCUUAAUACUACUGACCUAUGCAGAAAUAUUUAUAUGCAUGAAAGAAUGUAUUAUUUUGGAAGGGAAAUUUGAAAUUUAUCUGUCUGUAAGAGACAAAGUAAAAUGAAUACUAGUUAGUCCCUGGUAAUUAGAAGUGAGACGUUAAAAUGAGGUUUAUAACCUGCCAUCCAGUAUUCCGUUUCUUUGUGCAGUCUACCUAUGUGAUAGAAUGAGUUUUAAUUCUGUUUUAUUAGCACUGCCAAUAAGCACAGCAAAUUUAGGAGAUUGUUUGAACCUACAAUUAGGAGGGAGUAGAAAGAUGGCAAAAGGGAAAGAAAGACUUACUUAAUAUGUAAUAUUUCUGUUUAAUGAUUCAAUGGUUUGUACCGUGCCACUAUGGAUUCUUUGGUGUGAAGGUCAGAAUUUAAAGAGCUGUAUUUUAAUUGGAUAUUUAGAUGAGCUAUAUUCAUUAUUAUUCUUAUUAAAUUAUAGCUGUAUAUAUCACUUUAUUGCUUUAGCAUCUUGUACAAGGACUUCAUUUGCAUUUAAUUAGUUUCUCUGUAAAAUGAUUUCUGGUUUUGAAAUUAUGCAUUUGUACAUUACAGAGCCAUCAAAUUAUCAGCCUCACUGCCAAAGAUCAAUCCAAAACUCUGAUAAGUGUGAUGAGGUAGGUUUUCCAUCAUUAAAAUUGCCUACAAAUUCUUCAGCACAGUCAAAAUGUCAUGGGCUGUUAUUUAAUUUGUUUAUGACUAGCAGGAGUUAAUGGAAUUGUGUGGUAAGAUGGGAUUUUCAAGAAAGCUACAGUGUUGUGAUUUAAAAAAAAAAAAGUGUAAGCAAGCAGUAUUAGAAAUCUGUUAUUA